UGUUUGUACACUCAAAAAAUGGGUUUUGUAGCACUGUUCAUUAUACACAAAUAUAUUUAGUUACAUUAACACAUACACAUUUAUUUUUAAGACAAAAUACAAGUGUAAUGUGUUAUGCUAAAUCAAUUUGUUAUUCACUCUGGUUUACCUAAAUACCUAUCUUUAAACUAAAGUAAUUGGUUUACUUUGCGAUAGAGAGUAGACCUAUUAUCAGGUUCAUAUUCCGGAACAGAGGGGGCGGUAAUGCUCCAUUAAGCUGGUUACCAACCGCUGGUAAAAAAGAAAGAAGAAGAAGAAGAAGAAUUUUUUUCAAACUAAAGGAUGUGACGUCAUUUUAACGACUUCCACGAAGACGGCGCGCAGGUGAUGGUGUGGUAAGUAAACUAAAUACGUUUAUUCUUCAAUCCAUCUUAAAACAUUGUUGAGGCAACUUUAUUUUAUGUUUAAGGCGAUGGUGUUUGUUUUUGAUGGUGAUGAUUUCACGUCAUUUGUGCAGCAGUGAGGUAAAGUGUGUGAUUUGUGCGUUUCAAAUGUAAUGGAGUGCUUCACGCGAUCUGUUGUGUGACGUGUUUAAACCGUAUUAAACGUGAUGUACUCGUGUUUAAACAGUAUUAAACGUGUUGUUCAAUUUCGGGCCAUUAUUAGUGUUUUAUGAUAGCAGCAGUGUUGUAAACUGCGUGAUUUGUGCGUUUCAAAAUGAACGGAUUGCUUCACGUGUUCGUGUCAUACCACAAUGACUUCUCCAGUCUGGCUAAAAGUUACAAAAGGUGAUCCUUCAGUAUGCCAUUCCUACUUCAGUGAGUGACCUGUCAAAGGAAAUAGAAAAACAAUGUAAUCUACAAGGACAUUUAAGGCUGCAGUUCAUGGAUUCUGUCUUGGGAAAUUAGUUUUUAAAUCUCAUGUCCACAUCUGAAAUUCAAGACAAAAGUACACUAAAGGUGGUAUUCCUGACAACACCAAGUGAUUGUGACAACUUGCCCCCACCACAACUGAACAGUUCUCAAAAGGAGUACCUGCUCAUCACCAGCUCUUUCACUUUCAUCCUGUGACACAGUCAUUUUGUCAACCCCAUCUACAUCAUUAAGCUCUGACUGUGUUGCAAAAGUGUGUCUUGCCAAAUAUAUAACAAAACUGAGAAAAAUUGGCUGUAAUGAAGUGAAAUUAAAUUUACUCAAGCCCAAACCAGCUGGAAUUUCCAGUGCUGCUUACCAUAUAAAAAAAACAUGCAACGCUGAGGUGAACUACUUCCCUUACCAUCCACAAACGGAGACAACCAAAACACUGGAAGUAGUCAGUGUAAUACUUCUGUCUGAAAUUAAAAAGAACAAUGAGAAAACAUUAUGAAUGCUGAUGGACAAGACCUUUUCUAUCAGGAGACAUGAGGUUGUCAAGGAAUCACCUUCAAUAGCAGAUUUCAAAACUAGAUGGCCUGCUCUUUUCAGAAGGGAAGAGGUGAGUGAAAAGUUUUUGAGUCAUUUAUGUUUAACUUUAUUGGUUUUGUGGUAACAAUAAUUUAUUUUGUUUUGUAGAUUUGUGCAGAGUUUAAAAGAACAACAGCCCCAUUGGUGUCUACAUACUUGGCGAAGAUGAAUCAAUAUUCUGCAAAGCUUAUAAGGAUCUAUGCAAAACGAGGAGUCGUCAAUGGACAGAGAAUUAAAAACCUGCUGGUCUCCACAACACGGACUGACAACAUUGAUCAGACUCCGGUCUUUCUUUGUCUACCUGAAUGAAGACCCGACCAGUCUAAUUAAAGAGUAUUUGGAUACAGAUGCACCCAGUACCCAGGAGGCGAUCCAGAAGAUGGUAAUGGGAGUGCUUGUUGUAAAAAUGUAUGGUUCAGACAUCGAAGACAGCCCAGCAGAUGUUGGAGUGUUAUUAAAGGGAUUAAGAGUUCUCGGACCUCAACAACAUUGUGUAUGCAACAACCAUGCUGAUGGGACUGAAAUAUGAACUGAACUUGAGCUACUUUCCCAAAUUCAGGUACACUUUUGAAGUAUUGCAGUUGUUGUUUCUGGAGCUAGAUGGGAAGUAACUAUCUCAUAAAGUUCAGACGCUGAAGACCAAGCCUUUUGCAGAUGUUUUGAGAAAGGAAUGUUUUAAUAUUUCAUAUGUAAAUGCCAUGUUUUUGAAAUGGCAGUACAAUAACAUUCAGGAAGUAAGCAGUGUCGUCAAUUUAUUUUGAUAGUUUUGCAGUGUGUUUCUAUUUAAUUAGAUUAAUGUAGAGUUGUUUAAAGCUUUGGCUGUACGUAAAUGGUCCUGCAUCUAAUUUGUCAUGGAAUGUUAACGUUUAUAAUGUUUUUACAGUACCAUUUAACUUAAAAUUAUACCAAAGUUGUUGAAAAA